CCUACGGGUGGCAGCAGUGAGGAAUAUUGGUCAAUGGACGAGAGUCUGAACCAGCCAAGUAGCGUGAAGGAUGACUGCCCUAUGGGUUGUAAACUUCUUUUAUAUGGGAAUAAAAUGUUCCACGUGUGGGAUUUUGUAUGUACCAUAUGAAUAAGGAUCGGCUAACUCCGUGCCAGCAGCCGCGGUAAUACGGAGGAUCCGAGUGUUCUCCGGAUUUAUUGGGUUUAAAGGGAGCGUAGGUGGAUUGUUAAGUCAGUUGUGAAAGUUUGCGGCUCAACCGUAAAAUUGCAGUUGAAACUGGCAGUCUUGAGUACAGUAGAGGUGGGCGGAAUUCGUGGUGUAGCGGUGAAAUGCUUAGAUAUCACGAAGAACUCCGAUUGCGAAGGCAGUUCACUGGACUGCAACUGACACUGAGGCUCGAAAGUGUGGGUAUCAAACAGGAUUAGAUACCCGGGUAGUC
rnacentral:rRNA from 1 species